GGGCUCCCCGUGCUUCGGGCGAGUGUCUGCAAGCCUCGCGCGCCCUGUGGGAGGUCCCGCCGAGCGCGCGAGGCUUGGGGAGGUAGCCUGCCGCCCGAAGCACGCGAGGCUUGGGGCGGCAGCCGCGGGGGGGGGGGAUAAUUUUUUUUAUUCAUUUCCCCCCCCAAAAAACGAGGUGCGUCCUAUGGACCGGUGCGUCCUAUAGAACGAAAAAUACGGUAAAUC
rnacentral:lncRNA from 1 species